GCCCUUAUAGCUCAGUUGGUAGAGCGGCUGAUUUGUAAUCAGUAGGUCGGGAGUUCGAGUCUCUCUGGGGGCACCA
rnacentral:tRNA from 82 species